rnacentral:snoRNA from 1 species
CUGUAUCCACUGAUAGACCUUGAACAGUUGCUGUUACUCUUUGGGUUUGCACUAGUAUGCAAAAGAAAGAAAUCCCUAUGAUUUCUGCUUAUCUUUGUGGUAACCCAGAUUAAAUUGGAUAAUACAUCU